rnacentral:tRNA from 1 species
ACCUGGCUGGCUCAGUUGGUAGAGCAUGUGAUUCUUGAUCUUGGGGUCAUGAGUUCGAGCCCCUUGUUGGGCG